rnacentral:rRNA from 1 species
UGGGGAAUAUUGCACAAUGGGGGAAACCGUGAUGCAGCAACGCCGCGUGAAGGAAGACGGUCUUCGGAUUGUAAACUUUUGUUCUUGGUGAAGAAGAAUGACGGUAGCCAAGGAGGAAGCCACGGCUAACUACGUGCCAGCAGCCGCGGUAAUACGUAGGUGGCAAGCGUUGUCCGGAAUUACUGGGUGUAAAGGGAGCGCAGGCGGGAAAUCAAGUUGGAUGUGAAAUGUCGGGGCUUAACCCCGGAACUGCAUCCAAAACUGAUAUUCUUGAGUGAAGUAGAGGUAGGCGGAAUUCCGAGUGUAGCGGUGAAAUGCGUAGAUAUUCGGAAGAACACCGGUGGCGAAGGCGACUUUCUGGACGACAACUGACGCUGAGGCGCGAAAGCGUGGGGA